rnacentral:rRNA from 1 species
GUUAUAUGGUCAAGCGAAUAAGCGCACACGGUGGAUGCCUUGGCGGUCAGAGGCGAUGAAGGACGUGGCAGCCUGCGAAAAGUAUCGGGGAGCUGGCAACAAGCUUUGAUCCGGUAAUGUCCGAAUGGGGAAACCCACCCGCUUGCGGGUAUCCUGCAGUGAAUACAUAGCUGCUGGAAGCGAACCUGGUGAACUGAAAUAUCUAAGUAACCAGAGGAAAAGAAAUCAACCGAGAUUCCGUAAGUAGCGACGAGCGAACGCGGACUAGCCCUUAAGCUGAUUUGGUUCUAGGAAAAUGCUCUGGAAAGAGCAGCCAUAGAAGGUGAUAGCCCUGUAUCUGAAAGGGCCAUUUCAGUGAAGACGAGUAGGGCGGGGCACGUGAAACCCUGUCUGAACAUGGGGGGACCAUCCUCCAAGGCUAAAUACUACUGACCGACCGAUAGUGAACCAGUACCGUGAGGGAAAGGCGAAAAGAACCCCGGAGAGGGGAGUGAAAUAGAUCCUGAAACCGUGUGCGUACAAGCAGUAGGAGCUCCGCAAGGAGUGACUGCGUACCUUUUGUAUAAUGGGUCAGCGACUUACUGUUCGUGGCAAGCUUAACCGUAUAGGGGAGGCGAAGGGAAACCGAGUCUGAUAAGGGCGCAUAGUCGCGGGCAGUAGACCCGAAACCGGGUGAUCUAGUCAUGGCCAGGGUGAAGGUGCCGUAACAGGUACUGGAGGCCCGAACCCACGUCUGUUGCAAAAGACGGGGAUGAGCUGUGAUUAGGAGUGAAAAGCUAAUCGAACCCGGAGAUAGCUGGUUCUCCUCGAAAGCUAUUUAGGUAGCGCCUCAUAUGUAUCCUCUCGGGGGUAGAGCACUGUUAUGGCUAGGGGGUCAUCGCGACUUACCAAACCAUUGCAAACUCCGAAUACCGAGACGGACUGUAUGGGAGACACACGGCGGGUGCUAACGUCCGUCGUGAAAAGGGAAACAACCCAGACCCACAGCUAAGGUCCCAAAUUUUGUGCUAAGUGGAAAACCAUGUGGAAAGGCACAGACAGCCAGGAGGUUGGCUUAGAAGCAGCCACCCUUUAAAGAAAGCGUAAUAGCUCACUGGUCGAGUCGGUCUGCGGGGAAGAUUUAACGGGGCUAAGCACAAAACCGAAGCUUGGGGUGCAUAACUUUGUUAUGCGCGGUAGAGGAGCGUUCCGUAAGCCGUUGAAGGUGGAUUGAGAAGUCUGCUGGAGGUAUCGGAAGUGCGAAUGCUGACAUGAGUAACGAUAAUGCGGGUGAAAAACCCGCACGCCGAAAGCCCAAGGUUUCCUUGCGCAACGUUAAUCGGCGCAGGGUGAGUCGGCCCCUAAGGCGAGGACGAAAGUCGUAGUCGAUGGAAAGCAGGUUAAUAUUCCUGCACCUCGCGUAAGUGCGAUGGAGGGACGGAGAAGGUUAGGUGUACCAGGCGUUGGUUGUCCUGGGGAAAGGCGGUAGGUUUGGAUCUUUGGCAAAUCCGGGAUCCUUUAAGACCGAGCACCGAGACGAGCCUUUAUGGCGAAGUCACUGAUACCACGCUUCCAGGAAAAGCUCCUAAGCUUCAGCUUACGCAGACCGUACCGUAAACCGACACAGGUGGGUAGGAUGAGAAUUCUCAGGCGCUUGAGAGAACUCGGGUGAAGGAACUAGGCAACAUGGCACCGUAACUUCGGGAGAAGGUGCACCCUUUUUGGUGGCUCGUGCGAGCUAUAGCUGAAGAGGGUCGCAGUAACCAGGCCGCUGCGACUGUUUAUCAAAAACACAGCACUCUGCAAACACGAAAGUGGACGUAUAGGGUGUGACGCCUGCCCGGUGCUGGAAGGUUAAUUGAUGGGGUCAGCCGCAAGGCGAAGCUCUUGAUCGAAGCCCCAGUAAACGGCGGCCGUAACUAUAACGGUCCUAAGGUAGCGAAAUUCCUUGUCGGGUAAGUUCCGACCUGCACGAAUGGCGUAACGACAGCGGCGCUGUCUCCACCCGAGACUCAGUGAAAUUGAAAUCGCUGUGAAGAUGCAGCGUUCCCGUGGCAAGACGGAAAGACCCCGUGAACCUUUACUAUAGCUUUACACUGAACGUUGAGUUCGUCUGUGUAGGAUAGGUGGGAGGCUAUGAAACUGUGGCGCUAGCUGCAGUGGAGCCAUCCUUGAAAUACCACCCUGUCGUGCUUGACGUUCUAACCUGGGUCCAUUAUCUGGAUCGGGGACCGUGUAUGGUGGGUAGUUUGACUGGGGCGGUCUCCUCCUAAAGAGUAACGGAGGAGCUCGAAGGUACGCUCAGCGCGGUCGGACAUCGCGCACUGUGUGCAAAGGCAUAAGCGUGCUUGACUGCAAGAUCGACGGAUCAAGCAGGUAGGAAACUAGGACUUAGUGAUCCGGUGGUUCUGUAUGGAAGGGCCAUCGCUCAACGGAUAAAAGGUACUCCGGGGAUAACAGGCUGAUACCGCCCAAGAGUUCAUAUCGACGGCGGUGUUUGGCACCUCGAUGUCGGCUCAUCACAUCCUGGGGCUGUAGUCGGUCCCAAGGGUAUGGCUGUUCGCCAUUUAAAGUGGUACGCGAGCUGGGUUCAGAACGUCGUGAGACAGUUCGGUCCCUAUCUGCCAUGGGCGUUGGAGAUUUGAGAGGGGCUGCUCCUAGUACGAGAGGACCGGAGUGGACGAACCUCUGGUGUUCCGGUUGUCACGCCAGUGGCAUUGCCGGGUAGCUAUGUUCGGAAGCGAUAACCGCUGAAAGCAUCUAAGCGGGAAGCGCGCCUCAAGAUGAGAUCUCCCGGGGCACAAGCCCCCUGAAGGAACCAUAUAGACUAUGUGGUUGAUAGGUCAGGUGUGUAAGUACAGCAAUGUAUUGAGCUAACUGAUACUAAUGAUCCGUGUGGCUUGACCAUAUAACCU